rnacentral:lncRNA from 1 species
CCCCUGCAAAAUCGAUACAUGUAUUCUCUCAUGCCGUCAUGGAAGUGAGAUUAUGUAGGAAGGAAUAAGGAUGAGACGAACUAAAGACAAUUGAAUCGGAUUAUGUCACAGUGAUUCUGUCCACUUGAGGUGGUGAUUUCGUGCGGUUGUGAGAGAGAGGGUUCUUACUUUGUCAUUAGCUCCUUGCGCCAUCCUAGGGGCGGUCCUCGCCUGCAUGACAUAGUGUUCAUAGGUAAAUACAUACUUAAAGACAAUUGAAUCGGAUUAUUUCACGGUGAUUCUGUCCACUUGAGGUGGUGAUUUUGUGGGGUUGUGAGAGAGAGGGAUCUUACUUUGUCAUUAGCUCCUUGCGCCGUCCCAGGGGCGGUCCUUGCCUGCAUGACAUAGUGUUCAUAGGUAAAUACAUAAUUAAAGAGAAUUGAAUCGGAUUAUGUCACAGUGAUUCUGUCCAUCGGAUUAUGUCAUGGUGAUUCUGUCCACUUGAGGUGGUGAUUUCGUGGGGUUGUGAGAGAGAGGGAUCUUACUUUGUCAUUAGCUCCUCGCAUUGUCCCAGGGGCAAUACUCACCUGCAUGACAUAGUGUUCAUAGGUAAAUACAUACUUAAAGACAAUUGAAUCGGAUUAUGUCAUGGUGAUUCUGUCCACUUGAGGUGGUGAUUUCAUGGGGUUGUGAGAGAGAGGGAUCUUACUUUGUCAUUAGCUCCUCGCACUGUCCCAGGGGCAAUACUCACCUGCAUGACAUAGUGUUUAUAGGUAAAUACAUACUUAAAGACAAUUGAAUCGGAUUAUGUCAUGGUAAUUCUGUCCACUUGAGGUGGUGAUUUCGUGCGGUUGUGAGAGAGAGAGGGAUCUUACUUUGUCAUUAGCUCUUCGUGCCGUCCCAGGGGCGAUUCUCACCUGCAUGACAUAGUGUUCAUAGGUAAAUAUAUACUUAAAGACAAUUGAAUCGGAUUAUGUCACGGUGAUUCUGUCUACUUGAGGUGGUGAUUUCGUGCGGUUGUGAGAGAGAGGGAUCUUACUUUGUCAUUAGCUCCUCGCACCGUCCCAGGGGCAAUACUCGCCUGCAUGACAUAGUGUUCAUAGGUAAAUAUAUACUUGAACUCGAGCGAUUACCUUUUUUUCCUGCUAAUAAAGAAUUAGGUUUUCUUUUCUUUUCUUUUUUUGGGGUAUGGCAGAGGCGAAUAUCAUGUCUGGGUUUUUUAAAACUCAUUCAGCUUUCGAAAAUCGCUUUACAAACCAUACAAUUAUCUUCCGGACCAACUUACGCGAAUCACGCCUAUACAUGUUGUCUAUGUAGUCGGGGUGCAAAUCUUUUUGAAGGAGAAGAUAGUGCUUUUGAUCUUGUCAUUAGUUCCAACUCGAUAAAAGUAAGGUGGACAUUCCUCGUUGGAGGUAUUUUUUUUGAAAAUGUAAAUUUUAGUAGAGUGUUGAAUUUUCUGCAUCAUAUAUCCUUAUGAAGAAUCAAGAUCGAACGUCUAUUUAGAUUAAUUUAAACUACAAUCUUUACCUCUUGACCGCGUACAUCAGUACUGGGUUUGUCUAUCAAUAGGUGUUUAUACUCGUCGUGGCAGAGGACGUAGGAGAAGGUUUUUAGUUCCUCAAAACUGAGACUUUUGCUGCCGUCCUUGUCCAGCUUUGCGAAGAGAUUAUCAGGGUUGACAUUAUGGAGCCCGGCAACGCUCAGGAAGGUCUUGAACUCGUCGAUACUUAUGUCGCCGUCCUCGUUCUUGUCCAUGUUGUUGAAGAGUCUCGUCGCCUCCUCCUUCUGGUCAUCCGUCAAGCCAUCGUAAUGAGCAGAUGCAGCCUCGCGAAGCUCUGCUAUAUCUAUGUCUGCCAAGACGGGCUUACUUAGCUUGGUCGGCUCGGUCGGCUCGGCCUCCAGGUCCUCCUUCUCUCUCUCCUCUCCAUCUCCACUGAAUAUUUUCUCCUCCUCCUCCUCCUCCUCCUCCUUUGCUGUAUCUAUGUCUGCCGAGACGGGCUUACUUAGCUCGGUCUGCUCGGUCGGCAAGGCCUCCACGUCCUCCUCCUCUAUCUCCUCUCCAUCUCCACUGAAUAUUUUCGCCUCCUCCAAGGACUCGGCCAUCCCUCUCCCCCUCUCUCUCCUUUGCCUUUCUCUUUGAGGAUGUGUGCAAGUGCUGUUUCUGUGGAGGUUAUUGAAGUAUUUAUAGAAAAUUACAGUCGAGCGUUCCAUGAGUUACACGCACAAAAGAAAGAAAGAAAAAUAUGUGAAUGAUUAUUAGAUUUUUAAUGUGUGUACGAUCAAUGUGAAUGCAUGUGAAGCACACAGAGAGAGGAAGCAAAAAAAUUCGUGGACUUCAAUUUGGACGUACAAGUCCCUACAUUUGCUAAGAGCAAUCUUACAUGGGCGAGCAAAUCUUAUUAAAACAUUUUUUUUUUGGUAAAGUAUUUUUUUUUUGGUAAAGUUAUUAAAACAUUUUUAUUAUGUGAAAGAGUUAAUUUUUUCAUUGGAUAUUAAAAAAAAAAAAAACUUAUAGUCCAAUGCAUGAAUCCCACCGAUUUCAAUAUGAUUGAAACUUUCUAAUAUUUUUAUUGCCCCCAUCUAGUGACUUGUUGGACAUCUCAUGAGUCACGUCAAUUGAUUAAAUCCAAGCCUUUGACAUUUACGGAUGAUUAUGACUAAGAAUAGUUAAAAUUCAAUUAGUGAUAUUCGAACUAGUGAUUUCUAAUUUUUAAGCUGAAAAUCUCCUAACGUUAUGACCAAGAAUUCUCUUUUCCUAACUAUUUUGUUCUCUGAGCAAUGUCCAUAACGGUAUGUGAGUGAAGAGUACUAAUUCAAAACCUUGAGAAAACUAAGAUAGUGUAGGGGAAUGUGCAUCAGGUUGAUUCAACUCGAGAAUCCUUGCUUGGACCUAUUAGUUUAAGAUCAGUGCUAAGGAAAAUUGGUUUGGUUCCCAAUACUAACUUGAGAAAUUGAGGGGCAAAUUGUUCGAGGCGAAAUCAAUAAAUGCCCGUAGGACAGCGUUGGCUUCUUGACGGGGCCACCAAUGCGGACAAUUACACACGUCAUAAAAUCUUUGCAAUUCCAAUAAUUGAGGUCUAUGCCUAUUGAAAUCAUUAAAAUUCAAGACAAGACAGCACUGACGUGCCUUUAAGCCUGUUCCUAAUUAAAUCGGUUUUGCAGCAUCUUUAAAAGAAUAAAUAUUUUUGCACCCAUAAAAUCGAACCAUUCUCUUCAACAUGAACAAACAACAAAAUAAUCACUUGACUAACAUAUAUUUUAUAGCAAAAUUAUUCAACUUUUAUAUCAUAUCAUAUAAAUUAUAUUUCUACACAAAAUAAAAAUGAACCAGUUCUCGAGUAAAUUCGACAAUAGAGCCGCAACUGGUUGGAAAUCAACCCACCCGUGUUGGAAAAAUAUCUUUAAGUGAUUUUGAUAAUGUCCAAACUAUUAUCAGUAUAAUAUUUACUGUGAAAUGUGUAGAUGUUCAUACCAAAAGAUUGCAUAAUAUCCAUGGUGUAAUCCAAUGGAAGGAAGUAUGUCAUAAGUCCCGAUACAAUAUUUCCGUAAACAGUAUAAGUGGACUUGAAGAUAAACAAAUGUCUAUGUCGAAGUUGUAAAUAUCAAGUCUUUGGUGCUAUGGUUACCUCGUACAUUUAAUGACGUUUGUUGGAUUAGCAAAUUAGCUGUUGAGGCUUUGGAAUCAUCCAAUAGUAGAAUCUAGAUGAGACCAAUAAUCAAGAAGUUAGGUUGUGUGACAGGUUUGUUAGAGACUACAUCGAAGGGACAUCAACACAUGCUAUUUGUAGGUAGCGUGCAAAUGUUUGGGAAAAAAGACUGCAUGGACAGUUGUAUCUCUGGAUAGUAGCUCAACGGUUAUUCUAACAGCUCUCUGCUUCUUCAGUUUGCCUCCAACGGAUGGAUUGAAGAUUUGUUACAAAGAGCAACAUACCAAGAUCUAAAGAUUUAUCGCUAUGUUCCAAGCGAUACGCUCUCUUUGAACUAUUCUUUUAGCAUUGUAUUCGUGCUAUUUAAGUAAUUGUGCUAAGUAUUAAGUGGACAAGAGCAAGAGCAGCAUGUGAUCUAUCUUGUAAAAGGAUUAAUACUUACUAUUGUAACUUCCUCAGCAGAUUACUAGUCCAAUCUAGCUCAAUUUGUAGCUAUUAGUCUCAAGAGUGGACAUGGGCUACGGGAUAGAGCCGAACCACUAUAUUUCGCUCUUACUAGCACACGGUUUCAACAUUACAUUGACCUAUUCUUUACUUAGCGCCAGUUAAUUUUCACGAAAGAUUGUUAAGUUUUCUAAAGCAACCUAUUCACCCCCUCUAGAUUGUAUUGUUAGCCCCCAACAAUACAAACCCAAUCACCCUUGAGAUAGAGGCAAUCUAGAAAACUCACAUUAAUUUCCAAUUAGCAAUGAAAAAUUGAGAGCACACAGCAUGAGCCUUCAAUGAUUAAUUGCCAUAAUUCACAAUUUUUGUGUUUAGAUCAUGUAGGGAUCCAACUAUAGGAUUAUUGAAAUUUCAUACUUGACAAUCUAUAUAGUCUAUUAAUCUCGAGGAGGAGAUAGAGAGUCAUUUCAAAAUUUGGGAACAAUUCACUUUAAGAUAGAGUGAAUUUAAUGACUAUUUUCUCAAGCCAAUUCCAAUCUCAAAUUUCUUUCGAGUUUCAUAUAUUCAAAUGAAUCUCAGAGUUGAAAACUCUAUGAUGAAACGGGAAAUAAAUGAGUCCUUGAAACAAUAAGUAUCCUCUUUCCAAUUUGAUACCAAAGCCUUUUUCUUGUUGAUCUUAAAAUAUUUUGUGGAUAAAUAAGUCUUUUUAAUCCUUUUAUAUGAUCGUCUUCAAUUGCUUCGAUCCAGACCGGGAAGCUACGUAUUGUAGCUGGGGAGGAAUCCAAUAUUUUAACCUGUUAAAUACAAGUGUGAAAAAGAACAGAUGGAGUCCAAGUCAAAGUCAUGCUUGGGAUCAAAUCGACCUGUGUUACAUUGUAAGGACUAAGCGACAUUCUCCUCUGCCCUUUUUGAAAAAUCAAUGAAGAUUCCACCACAAGCCUCGUCUGCAAUAAUAGUAUAAAGCAUAGCUAGCAGACAUGAAGAUACCACGAGAUUCGGUGGGUUGUUCUGUCUCUCUCCCCAGUUUCCAAGAAAUCAGAGUGCGAUUAUCCUUAUUCGAAUUUAAGCGCCCGCGUAGUUUGAUCCAGGCAUGGAAAAAUGAUGCCUUAUUCUGCGAUGCUGUAGAGUCCAGGCCAAUUUCGAUUCAAAGAGGCCUAAAUUAUUAGAAAAACCUCAAAUUUUAAGUAUUGUCGCAAUUCCACUCCAAUUCUUUUUUUAUCUGAGAAAAAAAUUCAAUUUUAGAUGUAGCCCCAAAUCUAUUUCAAAAUUUAGAUUUAGUCCUAAAUUUAUCUCGAAUUUUGUUUUGCCUAAAAAGAUCACUAACUUUUAAUCUAUCCUUAAAUCAACAUUGUGGUUAUUCCUAAUUGGGCGUGGUGUUUCCACAUUGAUGACAAAUCUACAUUGAUAAGGCGACAUAGAAAAUUAUCUUCAAAUUAAAACUACUCUAGGAUAUAAAAAUUAAUGACCUCGUGGUCAUUGAAGUGAUGAUUUGUUGCUAUCGUUCAAUUAAUAAUAUAGGUAAAAGUUGAGUAGAACUUGAAAUCAACUCUAGAACCCAUGACACAAUAGGUUCCAAGGUAUGUAGGAUAAAUUCCAAAUUCAAAAAUAAGAAAUUUGUUUCAGUAGAUAGGUUCCAAGUUCGAUGUGACAUAUGUAUGAAAAUUGGACCCGCCCCUAAUUGAUUUACCUCCAAAGACCUACGUGGUCAAAUUUCCAAAGAAAAUAUACAAGUUUCUCCAUGAGAUUAGAAUCUUACGUAUUGAACGAUUGCAAUAAAUAUAAUUAAAACAUAGAUGCCUCCACAUAAUGGUUUUCAAUGCUUUAAUUGCUUGAUUCUUGCGUACUUGGGGUUUGAGUCACUAUGUGUCCUACUCAGCAUGACUUCAGCACGACGCUUGCCACCCUAAGCAUAGAGUGGUACCCAGUAUACGUGGACGGAGCGAUUGACAUACAAUCAUAAAAUUAGUCGAGUCGAGAAAAUUUCUAAUAUCUAUUUUUAUUUGCAAGUGAAAGUAUUGAGGUAUGGUUUAUAUUCGCGAUUAAUAAGAAGGCACGGAGUUCUACUCCUUGAUAUGAGGGUUUGAGGGCAAUUUCGAAAGGGUCAUAGGGAUAGCAUCUUCGUGACGUCCUUAAUUUAAGUUCAUUUUUUAUUGGAAAUUUAGAUUUACCGAUUUAUAAUAUCUUUUUAUUAUUAUUUAUAAUUGAGAGUUGUAAUAUAGAGGUGUAAUAUAUUAAUUAGAGUAAAAUUAUCAUAAAAAUUCUGAUACCUCAAUGUCUCUUUCGCUCGUUUUUAUUUUUUAUUUCUUCGUGGUGGUGUGUCGAAUUCUAAUGGAAAGAAGGGAAAGAAAAGGAAGAUAGGCAUCGUUAAAGACUUCGCGAGGACUGAGGAGCAAUCUGUCGAGAUAUUUUAUCGCUCUCGGUCUUGGUCGUCUCUAAAUUUCGUCAAUGCACGGGCCGGCGAGCGGAUGAUAUGAUUGCAAGAGGCCAAAACUGUCAGAGUGAACGAUAAUCACUUUGUUUUUUGUUUUUUCACGACAUGUCCUCCCCACUUUAAAAAAGUAAGAGAGCUUAGCAAGUGACGCCGGAGCUGGUCUCUGUCUCUGUAAUGCGCUUGCCAGCUUCGAACGAAAUAGAAAGGAUGCGUCUCUGAGGCAAAAGCUACUUUUUGCAAAAGCAUAUUAACUUUUGUGCACAAUUUUCUCCGCCUAUUUAAACACCAUCAAGUCUCACCACGUGUAUCUACUUUUGUGCACAAUUUUCAAGGCGUCUCAUGCUGACGUCACCGAACCGCUCUGUCAGGAGGAUCGGCUGACUCGCUAGGGUUUUGUUCUUCAGGUUAGGUCGGAUUUUCUUGGGUGCUCCUUCCUUGGAUAUGCUGAGCUUGGACACACAGCGGGUCGAUGAAUAGGCACGUGACUAGAGUAAGCUAUAAAUCUUUGCUGGCUACAAAAAAAAAAAAAAAACGUUGUCAAUAUUGGUGUACAGUGAUGAUCAUUAAUAGGUUGUCAAAUAGUUGAUUGUAGACAAUGAUAUUGGUUAAAUGGGUCAAAUGGAUUACCCAUCGAAAUGCCACAAAAAGGCCGAAUACUUAGAGGGUGUCAAGAUGCGGUCAUAAAAUUUGGAAUUUGAAAUCAGUGAUGAGUGGAGCUAUGAAGACCGGUAAAUCAUGGAGCAAGAAUGGAUGAGGUGAAGGAUCAAAACACAAUUUUAAAGGAGCAAUCACUCCAAAAUAACAUCAUAGCAUCGUAAGAGUAUGGGCACAAGAUUCUCAAAGAUGUGGAGACAUAGAGAUAUGGUUACGACUGUAGGAGAAUUGCUCCUAGAAGGUGAUGGCAUGAGCACUAUAUAUACCAUUGUUAAUCUACUAGAGACCGCGCGAGCACAAAAAACAAAAAACAAUAAAAUAAAAUAAAAUAAAAUAAACAAACAAACAUGUUAUCUUUCAACUACCCUUUAAUUGAUGCAUUGUAGCUUUUAUUUUUAGACUCGUGUCAUCGAUUAAAUUCCAGUGUGUCUCUUAGCUGUAGAUUUUAGAUUUGCGUCGUCGUUUAAAUUCCAACAUUGCCUUUUUCAUGUCUUUAACUUUGUGGUCAAUUAAAUUCGGGCAUACUUUGUGCACAUUCAGGUUUGUCCAUAAUAGCUACAUUCUCAAAUUUUGUCGUUGUUCAAAUUUCAAUUAGGGGUGAUCGGUUUCUUGUCUGGUUUAGUUCCACCUAAGAAUUGGAAAUCGGACCAUGAGGACCGAUUCCAAUUUUUUUUGGGAUUGGGGAUCGAAUCGGACGGUCCUAGGACCAAGAACCAGACUGGACCGACUGACCGAUUCAGUUUAAUAGAACUGACCACUAGAGGUGGCAAAUGGGUGGGACAGGUCAGGUAUGGGUCGGGUCGAAAACGGAUCAACUCAUAUUUGACAUAUUUAACCCGUUCUGACCCAUAUUCUUAUAGUGUAAAUCUAGUGACUCAUACCCGACUCGACCCAUAUUGCUAAAACCCACUAAUAUACUUAAAAAAACCCGCGCUCACUAUAAGCUAUAUGCUAAUUGGAUAAAAACCUCAAAUUAAAUUAAAAAUAGUAAAUAAAAUAAAAAAUGUUAAAAAAGCCUAUAAAUUGAAAUAUUUAUGAAGAAUUAGACUAUGCACAUGCUUCUCUUAUUUAAAGUGAGCAUACUGUUGAGCAACUGAAAACUGCAACGUGAAACUAAGUAUUAGCUAUUUGAACACUAUCUAAUGAAACAUUCGCGAAGGGAAGAAUGAAAAUGGUCUUUCGCAAGUCAGAUUUAUACGAGCUUCAUCAAAUCUGGAAUUGAAAGUAAACACUUCUCUUAAUAAGAAUCUCAUUUGCUCGUUCAAAGAAAAUAGUUCUAUAGCUACAUUUGUAAUUCAAACAAAAUUGUCCACUCUCUUGGAAAUCCUAGAAAGAUGGACAAAAAGAUGUACUGCUCAAAAACUUAUUCACAUACAGUUAUCACCUUCCCUCCUUCCAGACUAAGUUGACUUCAUACUGGUCAACCAAGCGCAGAACAUGACCAAGUCCCAAAUAUGAUGAUAUCUUCAAUUAUGAAGGUAGAAAAUUCUAAACCUGAUACCAAUUAUAGUUCAUCUUUUAAUAAUGAGAUGAAACUCUUCUUCUGAUUAACACAUAACUUUACUUACAUAUGCCUCUCCAACCCGCAAAUCCCCAUAAAUCUUCUCCCCCUCCAUGUCAUAAUGAAACAAUGUAAAAAUGUUCACAUGGACUAAUUAAGCAUAGUACAACUUGUUUAUGGUUGGCCACCUCUAAUCAGUUUCCUAAACUGUGAAAGCUUCUACAGAAAUCUGCAAUUUACCAAGAAGUCAACUGCCAUAUCAGAGGAAAAACAUGGUACAAGUACAGAGAAGGCACCUUAUAACCAAAAAGCUCAUAACAUGCUUGUCAAAACACUGAAAUUCGGUCUGCAAAUACAGUCUUGUACCUAUGCCAUAUUGUAUCAUCCAUGAGACAAUGAAUAUGGAAUAUUGAGAACAAAUGUAUCAUGUAACACAAACCUUUCUUCACGCUUCUCAAGUGUUGCAAUUUGUUCUUUUAGCUAAGUUAUCUUUUCAUAUAUUUGGCAAUCAACAGAUUUUGCAGCAUUGCCUACAAUUUACAUGUGCAACAACACAACAAGAACAAAAGAGCAUUUAAUUAUGCACCACCAAGCUAUAGCUUUUCAAAUAACGUAAAAUCAUUUACAACCCCAAACCAAAAUUUCAUCAUACGGAAUGCAAUAGGCACAUGAAUUUCAUUAAUCCUGUUGCAUCAGCAUUUAAUGUUUGGAUAUAUAUAUCCAUGCGCGCGCACGCACAUUUCAGCACAUUGUUAAGAAUCUAUAAUAUUGCAAGAACAAGACAGAAACCAUUUUAACAUGCUAGUAUGAAUCUGGAGAUAAAAGAGAUAAUUUAAUAGUGAACUUUACAAAUAAUUUAAUAGUGAACUUUACAAAUAAAAGAAAGUACCUAAUGCAAAUAGUCUUGGAAGUCAACAAUGAGAGACUCGUCCUCAAGAUCUUCCUUAGGCGAAACUCCAAAUAACCAAUCUCUGGUGCAUAGCUCAGCCUCCACAUUUUUAGGCGAAAUGUUACUACGAUAUUUAUUUAGGAUGUGUCCUCCAAUGCUAAAGGCUGACUCUGAGGCAACAGUAGUGAUAGGAAUACUCAAUAUAUCACAUGCCAUAAGAGAUAACUCAUGAUAUCAAUGUGAAUUAGCUUUCCAAUAAUCAAGGACAUUGAGAUUAGGGGAUUUUUUUUCUAUCAACCCUGGGCUCCUCUAAAUACAAAUCUGAUUGUGAUUUAGUAGAUUGCAAGCUAAAGUGUUCACUCUCAAAUGCAUCAUACUCAUCAAGAUUGUCCCCAAUGUUUUCGACAAUGUCCUCAACUGAAAUGUUACCUUGACUAAUUGAAGAUGCAAAGCGAUCAUCUCUUGAUGUAGAGGUCACAUAUUCAUCAAAAAACAUAUAAAGCUUUUCUCAAAUGCUCCAUACAAAUUCCACAUGAUCAUCCAUCUCCAACUUCAAAUAGCAAAAUUCUAACAAGUGUAGCUUAUAGCGAGAAUCUAAUACAGCAGCAACAGAUAAGACAACACUGUAACACUUCCAAUAUUUUUCAAACUUCUUUAGCAUUGCCAUAGCCAUAGAUCUAAUAGCUACAUCCUCACUACUCCUUGAAUUUAUUAAACGAAGCUGAAUCUGCCAUACUCUAUAGAAAUAUAAAUUCGCCGUGGGAUAUCUAACUCCAGAGAAGAGAGUAGAAAUAUCAUAGAAAUGUUGCAACAAGAAUACUAUUUUCUUGGCUCUAACCCAACCCUCAAGUGAUGGACAUGUAAGAAAGUUAGAAUCAAUUAGCUUCAAAUGGGAAAAUGCAUUUUCAAAGACCAAAGCACCUUCAAGCAUUAAGUACGUAAAGUUCCAUCUAGUAGCUACAUCUUGACGUACUUUUUUACCCGUCUUCAAUCAAGACUGUGUUAUCACUCAACAAAUUUUGCUCUCCUCCCUUGUGUAGCUCUCACAUAUUUGACAAAUUCUCUAAUAUUUUGCAAUAAUCCAUCAAUCAUCUUUAGACCUUCUUGGACAAUAAAAUUCAGAAUGUGUGCACUACAACAUACAUGAAAAAACUUCCAUUACACAACAAAGAGGAUCUCAUAGAAUGUGUACUUUUCCAAAUAUCAAUGAUACUGUCAUUGUAUAAUGCAUUAUCCAAUGUGAUACUGAAAAUUUUCCUCUCAAUGCCCCACUCUCUCAACAAAGUCAGCAAUUUUUCCAAUAAAAUGGCGCCAUUGUGUGGAGGUGGCACGUAGGAGAAGCGCAAAGCCUUUGCAUGCAAUUCCCAAUUCUCAUCAAUGUAAUGGGCAGUGACGGUCAUAUAAUGAUUAGUUGUCACAGAAGUCCACAAGUCAGAAGGUAAACAUAUUCUACUAGAAAGUGACAUAAUAUUUUAUUUCAAAUUUCUCUUCUCAUUCUCAUAAACUUUGACCACAUCACUUUUUGCUGUAUUCCUCGACAUGUGCUUCACAUUGGGAUUAAGAUAACUAAGCAAUUCUCUGAUAGCCUCUUGCUCUACAAAAGAGUAUGUUAAUUGUGUUUGACUAUUGCUUUUGCUAGCUUGCUUCUAAACACAGUUUGAUCAAACUGUUCCGUGGAAUCGUCAACGUUGGCCUCUCGAUUGGGACAAAUUUGUAAAUGACACAACAAAUUUUUUGUCUCAUGGCUAGCCAUGUAAGUUGAUUCGCACUAUUUGCACUUGGCCUUUUUUUUUGCCAUCCUCCGUGAAUUGUUUGAAUUUAGACCAUAUAGUAGAAGUACAUUUUUUCGAUUGUUUAGAGCAAGUAGAGUUAUCUUCCUCAUCCUCAUGAAAUAAGGAUGUAGCUCUACGCCUCUUAGACCAUUUUGUUGUUGAAUAUUCUUUUUGAUCCUCGUUAGAUCUAGACAUGUCAACUAAUUAGUUAAAGAAAAGGUGAAUUAGAACAAGUUAUUUACUCAAAGAGAAAAUGACAUGUUAUAUUUCUGUUUAACACUAAAAGAAAACAUCUCCAACUUUCAUUCUCCUUUAAGAGUAGAGAACAAAAAAGAAAACAUGCAACCAAACAAGCAAUAACAAUCAAGUGAUUGUGAAACAGACUAAGAACAGAGACGAGGAAAGAAUCGCAUGCAUCAAUAGCAAAAAUUGAGGAACUCAAUGUGUCAAAAAUUUAUAAAGACACUUCUCUAAGAACGAGCAUUGCCAUCCCAAACAGUCCGAACCCUAGACCCAACUAAAAUCAACUAGAAGAAUAAGAUAUAAGCCAAGAACUCGUUCAGCUGGAACAAAGUUGUGAUUGUGCCCCAUUUAAGCCGCAAAAUGGCAGAACCCAACCCUAAUCAAACAAUCUCUACUUCUAAAAACCCUUCAGUUCGAACAUGGAAGCUGAGGAAACGUCAUUUCUCCUAUGCAAAUUCUUCAUCAUCUUUCACCACCAGCAAAUAGACUAAGAACAGAGUUAAGAAAAAGAAUCACACGCAUCGAUAGCAGCAGCAGAAAUUUUCAAGCUCAAUGAGUCCUCUAGAGAUUUCAGCUCGAGACAAUGACGUUAGGUUUCAUCAAGCACCGGGCUUGCUUUGGUCUGAAUACGUAUUUGGGGCCUUUCAUCUCUCUCGCUCAAUCUCAGUAUUAAUAGGUCUGACGUCACUCCUUCAUCUCCCCCCUCUGUAAAACCCGAGAGAUCGAUCCUCUCUCUCUCUCUCUCUCCCCUCGCCCUCCAAACGUCCGAUUCUCUCCCCCUCCUCCUCCCUCUCUCCCUCCGUUGAUCCAUCCAAUCCAGCAGUCGAUUUCUCCAUCUCCUGCACAUCGCGCACGUCGUCUUUCUUCUCACCCGGCUCGAGAAUCACGUUGCCGCGAGUGCUUGAUUUUGAGACUCCGAUUAUCUGGGGGCCAUGAGUGAGGAAGAGAGGAGCCUAAGUGGUCCGUUAAGGCUAGCGGGUUUCGGGAUCUUAUAAAUGGCGGAUACGCCGAGUAUCCACUAGGUGAAAGACGCUGCCUUCGUCUAAAGGGGAGAGGGGGGUGCGAAUGGAAAUUAUUAUCAUCUCAAAUCCACCACCACAUCCAAAUAUCGCCACCGAUCUUUUCGAAAUUAUCAAUAUAAUGAUCAUUUAGAUGUUUAUUAUUUGAACCUACAUCUUCACCAAUACUUUACUCUCGUAAGGAAAAACAACCUUAUGAUAUUGAUAAUUUGAAGAAAUUAUCUUCACCAAUACUUUACUCUCGUAAGGAAUAACAACCUUAUGAUAUUGAUAAUUUGAAGAAAUUAACUGCCAUUUUUAGAUGCGGAGCAAAACUAAAAUUGGACUUAGAGUUGAUUUUUUUUUUUUAACGAAAUUAGGCCUUUAAAUGGAUAUGCACAUAUUUAAUAGCGACGAAGUUUCGAUUUGUUUCUCCUUUUUUGUCAUUAUUCAAAAUUCUCAACAUGAACUCAUGAAGUUACAUUAUGAGAUGAACCAUGGAUGAGAAUGCAACAGAGAACAAGCGAACAAGAACUCGCCAUGCUUCUUUAUUUCCAGCACGCAGCCUACAGCACACAGCACACAGCACACAGCACACAACACACAACAUACAACACACAACACACUGAUGACACAACACAGGAACUUUCUUCUUUUCCUCGAAAGGAAGUGGCGCUCCAUGUCCUCAACGGGGCGACAGUGCUCGUAGCUCCCCUAAAUGAUGGUGCAUGAGUUCUCGCUCACCCACUCUUCAAGGUUGUACGUGCCCUUAAACUUGUCGUACAGCUGCGGCAAGAUUUUGGUCCAUUUCCGCCCCUGCAAAAUCGAUACAUGUAUUCUCUCAUGCCGUCAUGGAAGUGAGAUUAUGUAGGAAGGAAUAAGGAUGAGACGAAUUAGAGACAAUUGAAUCGGAUUAUGUCACGGUGAUUCUGUCCACUUUUUUUAGGUCGAUUUGAUUCUGUCCACUUGAGGUGGUGAUUUCGUGCGUGUGUGAGAGAGAGAUGGAUCUUACUUCGUCAUUAGCUUCUCCCUCCGUCCCACGGCCGGUUCUCGCCUGCAUGACAUAGUGUUCAUAGGUAAAUAUAUACUUGAACUCGAGUGAUUACUUUUUUUUCCUGCUAAUAAAGAAUUAAGUUGUCUUUUAUUUUCUUUUUUACAGGUAUGGCAGAGGCAAAUAUCAUGUCUGGGUUUUGUAAAACUCAUUCAGCUUUCGAAAAUCGCUUUACAAACCAUACCACUAUCUUCCGGACCAACUUACGCGAACCAUGCCUGUACAUGUUGUCUAUGUAAUCGGGGUGAAAAUCUUUUUGAAGGAGAAUAUAGUACUCUUGAUCUCGUCAUUAGUUCCAACUCGAUAAAAGGGAGGUGGACAUUCCUCGUCGGAGGUAAUUUUAUUGAAAAUGUAGAUUUUGGCAGUGUUGAAUUAUCUGCAUCAUAUAUCAUUAUGGAGAAUCGAGAUCUAACGUCUAUUUAUUUUAAUUUAAACUACAAUUUUUACCUGUUGACCGCGUACAUCAGUACUAGGCCUGCGUUUUAAUAGGUGUUUAUACUCGUCGCGGCUGAGGACGUAGAAGAAGGUG